GAUGAACGCUGGCGGCGUGCCUAAUACAUGCAAGUAGAACGCUGAAGGAGGAGCUUGCUCUUCUGGAUGAGUUGCGAACGGGUGAGUAACGCGUAGGUAACCUGCCUGGUAGCGGGGGAUAACUAUUGGAAACGAUAGCUAAUACCGCAUGACAACAGUUAUUGCAUGAUAACUGUUUAAAAGGGGCAACUGCUCCACUACCAGAUGGACCUGCGUAGUAUUAGCUAGUUGGUGAGGUAACGGCUCACCAAGGCGACGAUACAUAGCCGACCUGAGAGGGUGAUCGGCCACACUGGGACUGAGACACGGCCCAGACUCCUACGGGAGGCAGCAGUAGGGAAUCUUCGGCAAUGGACGGAAGUCUGACCGAGCAACGCCGCGUGAGUGAAGAAGGGUUUCGGAUCGUAAAGCUCUGUUGUAAGAGAAGAACGAGUGUGAGAGUGGAAAGUUCACACUGUGACGGUAUCUUACCAGAAAGGGACGGCUAACUACGUG
rnacentral:rRNA from 1 species